CCAUGAAAAAUGAUAAAAUUAAAUUUUGACAAAUGUUGAAAAAAUUACUUCACAAAAUGGACUAUCAAGUAUGAAUGUUUAUGAGUUUCAAGCCAAAUGACCAACUGCACGACCAUUUCUAUAUCAUAGUUUGUGAUAAUGAAUCCAAUUUUUGCAAAGGGGUGUGUCUUUGCAUUACUCACAAUAUUGUCAAAGAGUUUAGGAAUUUUUAUUUUUUUAAAUGUUUUUACAUUUUCUGAACGCAAGAAAUGAGGUGUUUUGUGAAAAAAGUAGUUCAAAUAUGUCUCAAAAUGGCACCUAAUUUUCACACAAAAUGGACCUUGUCUAUAAGCUUAUAAAUCUAUUUAGUUAUAACCCGUAAGACAAAUAUAUUAUACUAAAAAAAUUAAUUACAUGGCAUUUAGCCAUCGAGUGGCUGUUUUGCAUUAAAACCUGCCAUUGGAAGGUCACUAAUUUUUUUGCGGUGAGAAAACACAUGAUCCGACACAUAUGCUGCAGGCGCGCUUGAUUGGCUAAGUAUGUGCAGGCGCGCUUGAUUGGCUAAGGCCGGAGGGCACGGAUCGAUGAGGUGGCCUGCCCCCAACCCUUCCUUGCUUACCCGUGACUCAAUAUCCCCCCUAGCCCGUGACUUUUCUCCUAUCCCGAUCAUUUUUCUCUGCAUCUCCCUCCCUCUCUCGAUCUCUCUCCCUACUGUACUGCUUCUUUUCUUCCUCCCCACAUCUGCCCCCACCGAGCUCAUCUCCCUCAUCC
rnacentral:lncRNA from 1 species